rnacentral:lncRNA from 1 species
GAACUUCCUACAGUCUGAACUGGCUGUCCUCGCUUUGUUUGUAGACAGCCACGGACAUGAGUUAGGAGAGGAAGACUCGGAGGGAUCACUGGCCCCAAGUGGAAAUCGAGGAACCUUCCCGACCCAGGAGGGCCCCGAAGAACUCGAGGAGCAGGACUGCGGAGAACAACGGGCUGGGAGGUGCGAGCCCGCCGAGGGCCUCUUCCUGACCUCCCGUCAGGUGAGGGGUCACGGUCCUGGCUGGCAUGAGUUUCUCUCAGGUCCUGGCUCACGGCUGCUCUACAGGUGCACUUUCCCGGGCUUAUCCUGUCACUAGACAUCUGGGCUAUGACAAGAGCAGGACCUCCCGGUAGGAAGACAGAGCAGGACACAGGAGCCGGGAGCCAGCGUGAAGGGAGGAGGCAGUGAGCUGAAAGGGGUAAGGCCCUUGGCAGCGCAUCAGCGUUUCUCAG